rnacentral:rRNA from 1 species
GACGAACGCUGGCGGCGUGCUUAACACAUGCAAGUCGAACGGAAAGGCCCUGCUUGCAGGGUACUCGAGUGGCGAACGGGUGAGUAACACGUGGGUGAUCUGCCCUGCACUUCGGGAUAAGCCUUGGCAACUGGGUCUAAUACCGGAUAGGAGCCAUUUUUAGUGUGAUGGUUGGAAAGUUUUUUCGGUGUAGGAUGAGCUCGCGGCCUAUCAGCUUGUUGGUGGGGUAAUGGGCUACCAAGGCGGCGACGGGUAGCCGGACUGAGAGGGUGGACGGCCACAUUGGGACUGAGAUGCGGCACAGACUCCGACGGGAGGAAGAAGGGGGGAAUAUUGCACAAUGGGCGCAAGCCGGAUGCAGAGAGGCCGCGUGGGGGAUGACGGCCUUCGGGUUGAAAAAUAGUUUCGCUAGGGAAGAAGCUUGUUGUGACGGUACCUAGAGAAGAAGCACCGGCUAACUACGUG